GGAUGUGAGGGCAAUCUGGAUGUGACAUCUGUCACCACAUUGAUCACCAGUGUUGAUUUGGCUGAUGUAGCUGGCUAGGCUGGUGUCCCCUUCCUCCCUCAACAUUCCAUGUGUGUCCCUCCCAAAGCUGUGCAUGCUAUCACAGAGAACAACCUUCCCUGAAUGGAGACUGACCAGUCUCUGGUUGAGGGCAUAUGAGUAGCUGUGCUCCCUUGCUAAACCUCCAAACAAGCUCUCAUCUCACUCACUACUUGGCAUAGAAAACUCCAGAGCUUCACACCAAAGUCAGAUCAAAUCCAAGACGUUUGCAAAGCUGUUUUUUGACUUUUCUU
ensembl:misc_RNA 7SK 7SK RNA